AUAGAUUUAUAAAGAGAGGAGAGAAAAGGCAGAAAUACAAUUUAGAAAUCUGCCCUACACUAAAGCUGGGAUGUGUUUUUUUCUGUAGAUGGCCAGGGAGGAGAGAUGAGGAGAAUGGAAGUCAAGGAGAUAAACAGAAGAGGAAGAUCGUUUUAGUUUCACCAGAAACAUCUCUAAUUAUCAGUACCAGACUCCAUUGACAAAAACUCCAUUGUGCUGUCAUGACACAAGAAGAAGACAGUGUUGGAACUAUGUGAUAAAUCAACAAGUAAAGAAAAGAAUGAAUCUGACCAGUUUUCAGUCAUAGACAAGAAGAACCAAAGAAACAAUCUGGAGGUUUGAUACGGGGCUGGAGAAGGAAACAGUUUUCAUUCAAACCAUUUUAUCGCCCUCUUCCUGACGCACCUCUGAAUCACCGCCUGCGUGACUCAGCAUGGCAGAUUUGAGGGACUCGGACAGUUCGUAGUCCUGUAUGACCCACGUCACCCCGUCUGAGCCGCCGUCGUCCUCCUGAAACACCAACAGCGUCC